GAUGAACGCUAGCGGCAGGCUUAAUACAUGCAAGUCGUGGGGCAGCAUGAAUGUAGCAAUACAUUUGAUGGCGACCGGCAAACGGGUGCGGAACACGUACACAACCUUCCUAUAAGUGGGGAAUAGCCCAGAGAAAUUUGGAUUAAUACCCCGUAACAUAACGAUGUGGCAUCACAUUGUUAUUAUAGCUUCGGCGCUUAUUGAUGGGUGUGCGGCUGAUUAGAUAGUUGGCGGGGUAACGGCCCACCAAGUCUACGAUCAGUAGCUGAUGUGAGAGCAUGAUCAGCCACACGGGCACUGAGACACGGGCCCGACUCCUACGGGAGGCAGCAGUAAGGAAUAUUGGUCAAUGGACGCAAGUCUGAACCAGCCAUGCCGCGUGAAGGAUUAAGGUCCUGUGGAUUGUAAACUUCUUUUAUCUGGGACGAAAAAGGGCUUUUCUAAGUCACUUGACGGUACCAGAUGAAUAAGCACCGGCUAACUCCGUGCCAGCCGCCGCGGUAAGAC
rnacentral:rRNA from 1 species